AGCCCAAACCGGCUGGAUUCGUUCAGCCGGGGUUGUAGGGCCGGCAUAUGUGAUUCAUGAGUAGGCAGGGGAAAUGAGCUGGAAAGCUCUGCCAGAGCGGGUGACAGCCCCGUACCUGAAACCGAAAGCGACACAGCCGGUACCUGAGUACCGCGAGACACGUGGAACCUCGUGGGAAUCCGGGAGGACCAUCUUCCAAGGCUAAGUACUAACCGACGACCGAUAGUGUACCAGUACCGUGAGGGAAAGGUGAAAAGAACCUCUGUUAGAGGAGUGAAAUAGAAUCUGAAACCUGGUGCUUACAAGCUGUGAGAGCGGACUUGUUCCGUGAUCACGUGCCUUUUGCAUAAUGAGUCAGCGAGUUAAUCUGUACUGCAAGGUUAAGCGCAAGUGGAGCCGUAGGGAAACCGAGUCUGACAAGGGCGAUGAGUAGUGCGGAUUAGACCCGAAACCGGGUGAUCUAUCCAUGAGCAGGUUGAAGCAAGGGUAAAACCUUGUGGAGGACCGAACCAAUACCGGCUGAAAACGGUUUGGAUGACUUGUGGAUAGGGGUGAAAGGCCAAUCAAACCCGGUGAUAGCUGGUUCUCCCCGAAAUAUAUUGAGGUAUAGCCUCAUGGAUUGUCUACCGGAGGUAAAGCACUGACAGGGCUAGGGGUCCUACCAGAUUACCAAACCCUAUCAAACUCAGAAUGCCGGUCAGAUGUACCAUGGGAGUCAGACGGCGGGUGCUAAGGUCCGUCGUCGAGAGGGUAAGAGCCCAGAUCAACAGCUAAGGUCUCCAAAUCUAUGCUCAGUGGUUAAGGUGGUGACGUUGUAGAGACACCCAGGACGUUGGCUUAGAAGCAGCCAUCGUUUAAAGAAAGCGUAAUAGCUCACUGGUCUAAUGACGUUGCGCCGAAAAUGUAACGGGGCUAAGCAUAGUACCGAAGCUUUGAAUUCCGCGAAUGCGGUCUGGUAGGGGAGCGUUCUUCACGGGCUGAAGGUGUGUCGUAAGGCAUGCUGGACUGUGGAGAAGUGAUUAUGCUGACAUGAGUAACGAUAAAACGGGUGAAAAACCCGUUCGCCGUAAACCCAAGGUUUUCCGGGUAAAGGUAAUCUUCCCGGAGUUAGUCGGCCCCUAAGGCGAGGCUGAAAGGCGUAGCUGAUGGGAAACGUGUUAAUAUUCACGUACUUGUGUGUUCGCGCGAUGAAGGGACGCAGGAAGAUAGGCAAGCCGGGCGCUGGUUGUCCCGGUGCAAGCGUGUAGGGAUGAGAAGUUGGCAAAUCCGCUUCUCUCUAUCCUGAGACGCGAGUCCGUGACCGAAAGGUCUGAAGUUGUUGAGUCUAUGCUGCCUAGAAAAGCUUCUAAGUAUAGGACACGCAAACCGUACCGGAAACCAACUCAGGUGGGUGGGAUGAAUAAUCCAAGGCGCUCGAGAGAACUCUGGCCAAGGAACUCGGCAAAAUAACCCCGUACCUUCGGAAGAAGGGGUGCUUUUUAGGGUGAAGCGAUUCACUCUGUCGAGCCCUGAAAAGCCGCAGAGAAAUGGUGGUGGCGACUGUUUACUAAAAACAUAGGUCUGUGCCAAGUCGUAUAGACGACGUAUACGGACUGACGCCUGCCCGGUGCUGGAAGGUUAAAAGGAGGAGUCAGCGCAAGCGAAGCUCCGAAUUGAAGCCCCAGUAAACGGCGGCCGUAACUAUAACGGUCCUAAGGUAGCGAAAUUCCUUGUCGGGUAAGUUCCGACCUGCACGAAUGGCGUAACGAUCUCCACACUGUCUCGGCCAGAGACUCGGUGAAAUUGAAGUCGCGGUGAAAAUGCCGUGUACCCGCAGAAAGACGGAAAGACCCUGUGCACCUUUACUAUAGCUUGACAUUGGGAUUUGAGCCUGCAUGUGUAGCAUAGGUGGGAGGCUGUGAACUCUGUACGCCAGUAUGGAGGGAGCCAUCGUUGAAAUACCACCCUUGUUUGUUCAGGUCCCUAACUCCUCGCCGUUACCCGGUAGGAGGACAGUGUCUGGUGGGUAGUUUGACUGGGGCGGUCGCCUCCCAAAAUGUAACGGAGGCAUGCAAAGGUUCCCUCAGGCUGAUUGGAAACCAGCCGUCGAGUGCAAACGCAAAAGGGAGCUUGACUGCAAGAGAGACAUCUCGAGCAGAAACGAAAGUAGGUGUUAGUGAUCCGGUGAUCCCGAAUGGAAGGGUCAUCGCUCAUUGGAUAAAAGGUACGCCGGGGAUAACAGGCUGAUCGCAUCCAAGAGUUCACAUCGACGAUGC
rnacentral:rRNA from 1 species